rnacentral:misc_RNA from 1 species
GUAUAAGGUUUGUAGGCACAAAGGCCCUUUUCAUUACAUUCUAUAACAUAAAUGGUGUAUAUGAAGAAAACAUAGGCCUGGAAAUGUAAGGAAAGACAAAAGUCAAUCCUCAAACCUGAAUGGCAGGCAUUCAGAAAGAUAUCCAGAUCUACAAAAGGUGCACAGGUGGAGAUAUAAAGAUGACAAGUGUGCACAUGCUCCCUAGAGAGCCAGCAGCAACCCAUCAGGUUUAUUUCAAUAAUGAUCCUUCCGCAGGUUCACCUACGGAAA